rnacentral:rRNA from 1 species
UAACAAGGAUUCCCCUAGUAACGGCGAGUGAAGAGGGAAGAGCUCAAAUUUGAAAGCUGGUACCUUCGGUAUCCGCGUUGUAACCUCGAGACACGUUUUCCGUGCGGCGCUAUGGACAAGUUCCUUGGAACAGGACAUCGUAGAGGGUGAAAAUCCCGUACUUGCCAUGGAUGUACCGUGCUUUGCGAUACGUGCUCUAAGAGUCGAGUUGUUUGGGAUUGCAGCUCAAAAUGGGUGGUAGACUCCAUCUAAAGCUAAAUAUCGGGGAGAGACCGAUAGCGAACAAGUACCGUGAGGGAAAGAUGAAAAGCACUUUGGAAAGAGAGUUAAAAGUACGUGAAAUUGUCGAAAGGGAAGCGCUUGAAGUCAGCCAUGCCGCUCAGGACUCAGCCUGGCUUUUGCUUGGUGUAUUUCCUGGGUAGCAAGUCAGCAUUGGUUUGGAUCGUCGGAGAAGCAUAGUCGGAAUGUGGCGCCCUCGGGCGUGUUAUAGCCUUCUAUUGGAUACGACGAUCUAGACCAAGGAACGCAGCGCGCCUUAUGGCGGGUCUUCGGACACCUUCGCGCUUAGGAUGCUGGCGUAAU